ACUCAAAGGAAUUGACGGGGGCCCGCACAAGCAGCGGAGCGUGUGGUUUAAUUCGACGCAACGCGCAGAACCUUACCUUGCCUUGACAUGCUCCUGCACGCCCCAGAAAUGGGGAAGCCUUCGAGGGUGGAGCACCGGUGCUGCAUGGCUGUCGUCAGCUCGUGUCGUGAGAUGUUGGGUUAAGUCCCGCAACGAGCGCAACCCUUGUCCCGUGUUACCUGUGUCACGGGAGACUGCCCUGGUCAACCAGGGAGGAAGGCGGGGAUGACGUCAAGUCCGCAUGGCCCGUACGGCAAGGGCUACACACACGCUACAAUGGCGCGAAGAAUGUGUUGCUUCGUAGUAAUACGUGGCGAAUCAUCAAAACGCGUCUCAGUUCAGAUUGGGGGCUGCAACUCGCCCCCAUGAAGGCGGAGUUGCUAGUAAUCGCCGGUCAGCCAUACGGCGGUGAAUCUGUACCCGGGCCUUGUACACACCGCCCGU
rnacentral:rRNA from 1 species